rnacentral:lncRNA from 1 species
AGAUGGAGCUUAAAACGCACUCACUAUCUUAAAAAAAGAGGAAUAAAAUGGGAUUUAAGAGAAAAAAGCCCCCGUGAUUGAAAAAAAUAUAUAAAAGAAAGCAUAAGUUCCCUAUUUGGACCCUUAAUAUUGGUAAUUUUUAAUUUUAGUUGGAUCUCGUCUGUUUUUGAAAUUCUUGAGUUUACACUAUAUGAUGCCUUCAAAAAGAUUUGUUAUGUAUUGAAUUUGAAUUUGUAUCAGUUAGCAUGGAUGUUGAGCACACACACACUAUACAAGUAAUAAAAUUCAGAUUUGAUGAGUGAUAGGAUAUUGAUUGGUUUUGAUAUUACGUAUUGUCGUGUUUGCUUGAUUUCUCUUAGGCCGGGUGAAUAGAUUUGAUUCUAUCAAUACUGAUGGAUUCAUAGGCAUAUAGAUUAGUUGCAUUUCAUUUCAUUGCAUUUCAUUUUUGUUGUGUUACUUGGGGACAGUCAAAAGUUUAAGUUUGGGGGUAUUUGAUAAGUAGGUUUUAUACAUACUUAUCCGGUAUCUAUUACUUGAAUUAGUUACUGAAACUUAUGUUUCUUAGUUACUUUUCAUUCAUUUUAUGUUAUUUUGUAGGCUGUGACAUAACAUUGGCAUAAAGAAGCAAGGAAAAGAAAUUCGGACAACUUUUGGACUAAAAUAUGCAAGCAAAUAUAAGAAGGGAAGAUUAUAGUGAUUUUAACACCAAGUUGGAUGCAUGUUCUUGGCUUGGAACUUGGAUUAUACUUUAGAGCUUCUUCUUAGCUUUCCAUAACAUCCCGAAUCAUCCCAAUCGGAGUUCGGAUGCGAGAGUUAUGGCCUUUUUAUCAAUGAAGAUCACAGCUAAGAGUUCUCAUGCUUGCAAUUUACAUAGCAUCUACUUUAAGCACAAUUUCGAUCUUGUUCCAGCUAGAAUUUCUCUAUUCUCAAAGAAUGAAAGUUGUAGAGAUCGCCGAGAGCUUCGAUUUGAUAGGUGUGAGGCCUCAUAACUCCUCUCGGAUCAAAGGUUAUGGCCGUUUUACCAAAUGACACUACAACAGAAAAAGGACCCCUGCCGGGGCGGGCUUUCUAUGCAAAAAAACCCCGUCAUAGAAGGGGUACAGGUUGGAAAACAGUAGCAUAGCCAACCAGGGCGGGCUUUUUGUGAAGGAAACCCCCAUCGGGGCGGGGCUACGCGCCAGAACAAGUUUUUGACGCGUUUUGGAUCAAACUGUGAUACUUUUUUUGACUCCAAAUUGGAUUGGAUUUGCUCCUAAGCUAAAAAUUAGACUUGUAACUUAUAAAUACAUGAUGGGAGGCAUAAGAGAGAGAGAGGAUUCCAUUAGAUUAGAUUAUAGUAUAUUAGCAACCCUAUAUUAGAUUAGAACUGAAGAUUGAAGCUAUUGAGCAUCAUUGGAGAAACAGAUUGGAAG